GAAGCUAGGAACCCCCUGCCCAGGAGCCCCCCAGGCUGGGGGUAGAGAAGCUAGGAGACCCUGGUCCUCCAGGUCAGGAGCCUUGGAGAUUCCACCCUCCUCCUCUAUAGGACAGGCACUCCCAAGAUCAGCCUCAGCCAGUCUGUGAAGACCGAUGGGAGCAGAACACGGCUGGAGGGAGGGGUAACCGGGGGCAUGUGGUCAUAAAGGGGCCAGGAACACGGCAUCAGAGCACAGCAAAGGAUGCCCCAAAGUGAAAAAGGAGCUGAAGAAGUACCAUAGAAGGCCCUUCCUGCAGCCUCAGGCUGAGAUCCGAGUGAGAGGCAGAGAAACAGGCAGAGGGAACAGCAUGGACCAGGGCCCAAAAGAGCAGACGGGAAGGUGCUCAGGGGCUACUACACCAGGCCUCUCCUCAGAGCCCGAAAGUGGGGCAGGCAGGACCAGCGCGACGGAAACACAGCACGACGCCAGGAGCCAACAGGCAGAGAGAAGCGGAGCGCCGCGGACCACCGAGGGAGGCGGUGCAGGAACCCGCCUGCCCGCGCCGG